rnacentral:lncRNA from 1 species
CUUUGAGAGUCUCUUGAGUUAAACCCCAGGGAGCAGCACCAAUGGAAGCAGAGGGGGGCAGGGACAGUACCAGUACUAAGGAGGCUUCCACCUUGCAGUUAUGAUCAAGUAGUUUAAUAUGGGUUGAUGGAACACGUUCAUAUACAGAGACGAAAUCAUUGUCAAGGAACUCCUAGAAUCUUUGUGGGGGAAGACAGAGGCAGAACAUCAGGGCAAAAUUGGAUCAGUUUGAUGGCUGAAGAAGUGCUGAUAUUUUACGAUGGCCCCUCAGUUUCCUCCUCCAAACUUUUUUUUUAUGAGGAGGAGGGAAAAGGACAGAGAUGGCAUGUCUGGAGACGUGAAGUGUAUAAAAUAUCUGGUGACUACAAAGGGUUUGGAAGUGUUUCAUCUUCAUUUUCUGCAAAGCUUGGAGUGACCAAAGAUUGUUUGUUCUGCUUCUCAACAGAAAAUGAAUGA